rnacentral:rRNA from 1 species
AUGGAGAAUAUUAGUAACCAAUUUCCCAAUGAAGACAUGAACACACUUCCUGACCCACCACCUAUGAAAAAGGCUAGGACUUCUAAAGGCAAUGAUGAAGGUAAGGCUAAGAAAGGCAAAGACACAGCGAUUGAAGAUCUGGUUGCAGUUAGAAAAGAAGAACUUAAAACCUAUGUGGAUGUAAAGACGAAGCAAAUUGAGAGCUAUAGAGACGUGAAAAUGGCGCUGAUGGAAAAAAGGAUCCUGACAAAGAUCCUUAUUGCAUUGCCAAACUUAAGACCAUACCAGAUCUCUCAGCAAGUGAACAUCUGA